CUAAUAUUGGAUGGUUGUUUGAACCGCAUGGUUCAAACAUCCAAAGUGGCUUCUGCUACCACUUACGGAUGGACCCGCGGCGCAUUAGCUAGUUGGUGAGGUAACGGCUCACCAAGGCGACGAUGCGUAGCCGACCUGAGAGGGUGAUCGGCCACACUGGGACUGAGACACGGCCCAGACUCCUACGGGAGGCAGCAGUAGGGAAUCUUCCGCAAUGGACGAAAGUCUGACGGAGCAACGCCGCGUGAGUGAUGAAGGUUUUCGGAUCGUAAAGCUCUGUUGUUAGGGAAGAACAAGUACCGUUCGAAUAGGGCGGUACCUUGACGGUACCUAACCAGAAAGCCACGGCUAACUACGUGCCAGCAGCCGCGGUAAUACGUAGGUGGCAAGCGUUGUCCGGAAUUAUUGGGCGUAAAGGGCUCGCAGGCGGUUUCUUAAGUCUGAUGUGAAAGCCCCCGGCUCAACCGGGGAGGGUCAUUGGUAUCUGGUGAACUUGAGUGCAGAAGAGGAGAGUGGAAUUCCACGUGUAGCGGUGAAAUGCGUAGAGAUGUGGAGGAACACCAGUGGCGAAGGCGACUCUCUGGUCUGUAACUGACGCUGAGGAGCGAAAGCGUGGGGAGCGCACAAGGAUUAGAUACCCUGGUAGUCCACGCCGAAAAACGAUGAGUGCUAAGUGUUAGGGGGGUU
rnacentral:rRNA from 1 species